AUUUCCAAUGCCAGCUGGACUAACUUUACUAUGACCUUCCAUAGAGGCCAAGAAAGAAAAGCUAAGGUGGUGGACAGGAGGAACUUGUGUGUUUUGCAAAAACAAUCCAUGGUCUUGGGGAAGAGAAUUACCAUGUGUUGAGCAUCUAUUAUGUGCCAGCCCUGGGGAAAGGCCCUGAACACAAAUUAUCUCCAUUCAUCCUUAUAACAAGCCUGAAAUGACCAGAAGUCAGAAAAUCUAGAUUUGAACCCUAGUUCAGCUGCUCCAAGCCACGAGACUGCAUAAGUGGCAGAUAUUCAUCAAAUGGAGAAUGGCAGGCAGGCUGACCACACACAGAAAAGGAGGUCACUGUGACUUUAACAGGGCAUCACACCUGGGAACUGAGGGACAAUGUACUUGGCCUUGGAGUUUAAAUACUCACUCAGCUC